rnacentral:rRNA from 1 species
GUAGUAAGUAAUGCUCCUAAGCCCUGAAAAACUUGAAGUUUUAAAUCUCGGUGUAUGUUAAGCUUAAGUUGAAAUUUUAUAAAAGAAAUUUAUGAAAAAAAACAUAGCAAAAGGAACUCGGCAAAUACUUGGCCUCGCCUGUUUAACAAAAACAUCACUAGGAGAAACUUUACUCUUAGCAGUACCUGCCCAGUGCAAAGUUGUAAACGGCCGCCCUAGCGUGAGGGUGCCAAGGUAGCGAAAUUCCUUGCCUUUUAAUUGUAGGCCUGCAUGAAUGGAUUGACGAGGGUCAAACUGUCUCUUGCUUUGUAUGACGAAAUUGGACUGAAGGUGAAGAUACCUUCAUGUAAAAGUUAGACAAGAAGACCCCGUGCAGCUUUUAAAAACUUACUUAUUAAGAGCUAUAAGAUUUUUAGGUGGGGCGCCUAGGAAGUAAAACUUAACCUUCUUAUUUGUUAAAAGUAACUGUCUGGUGUAGACCCGGCAAGUCCGAUCAUGGGAGAAGUUACGCCGGGGAUAACAGGCUUAUCCAUUAGUAGAGCUCGUAUUGGCUAAUGGGAUUGGCACCUCGAUGUUGAAUUAAGGAUGAUAACUCUAAGGCGUAGAGGCUUUGGAAGUGGGUCUGUUCGACCUUUAAUACCUUACGUGAUUUGAGUUCAGACCGGCGUAAGCCAGGUCGGUUUCUAUCUUCUUUUAGAAAUUUCUUUCGACUUGUACGAAAGGACUGUUGAAAGAGGAGAUAAUCCUAAACAUUAGAAUUAACUCUAACUAAAUAUUAAAAUGUUACCCAGUA